AUUGAACGCUGGCGGCAGGCCUAACACAUGCAAGUCGAGCGGAUGAAGGGAGCUUGCUCCUGGAUUCAGCGGCGGACGGGUGAGUAAUGCCUAGGAAUCUGCCUGGUAGUUGGGGAUAACGUCCGGAAACGGGCGCUAAUACCGCAUACGUCCUGAGGGAGAAAGUGGGGGAUCUUCGGACCUCACGCUAUCAGAUGAUCCUAGGUCGGAUUAGCUAGUUGGUGGGGUAAAGGCCUACCAAGGCGACGAUCCGUAACUGGUCUGAGAGGAUGAUCAGUCACACUGGAACUGAGACACGGUCCAGACUCCUACGGGAGGCAGCAGUGGGGAAUAUUGGACAAUGGGCGAAAGCCUAAUCCAGCCAUGCCGCGUGUGUGAAGAAGGUCUUCGGAUUGUAAAGCACUUUAAGUUGGGAGGAAGGGCAGUAAGUUAAUACCUUGCUGUUUUGACGUUACCAAAAGAAUAAGCACCGGCUAACUUCGUG
rnacentral:rRNA from 1 species